GGCACUACGGUGCUGAAGCAACAAAUGCCCUGCUUCCAGGAAAAGCCUCUAAGCAUCAGGUAACAUCAAAUCGUACCCCAAACCGACACAGGUGGUCAGGUAGAGAAUACCAAGGCGCUUGAGAGAACUCGGGUGAAGGAACUAGGCAAAAUGGUGCCGUAACUUCGGGAGAAGGCACGCUGAUAUGUAGGUGAAGUCCCUCGCGGAUGGAGCUGAAAUCAGUCGAAGAUACCAGCUGGCUGCAACUGUUUAUUAAAAACACAGCACUGUGCAAACACGAAAGUGGACGUAUACGGUGUGACGCCUGCCCGGUGCCGGAAGGUUAAUUGAUGGGGUUAGCGCAAGCGAAGCUCUUGAUCGAAGCCCCGGUAAACGGCGGCCGUAACUAUAACGGUCCUAAGGUAGCGAAAUUCCUUGUCGGGUAAGUUCCGACCUGCACGAAUGGCGUAAUGAUGGCCAGGCUGUCUCCACCCGAGACUCAGUGAAAUUGAACUCGCUGUGAAGAUGCAGUGUACCCGCGGCAAGACGGAAAGACCCCGUGAACCUUUACUAUAGCUUGACACUGAACAUUGAGCCUUGAUGUGUAGGAUAGGUGGGAGGCUUUGAAGUGUGGACGCCAGUCUGCAUGGAGCCGACCUUGAAAUACCACCCUUUAAUGUUUGAUGUUCUAACGUUGACCCGUAAUCCGGGUUGCGGACAGUGUCUGGUGGGUAGUUUGACUGGGGCGGUCUCCUCCUAAAGAGUAACGGAGGAGCACGAAGGUUGGCUAAUCCUGGUCGGACAUCAGGAGGUUAGUGCAAUGGCAUAAGCCAGCUUGACUGCGAGCGUGACGGCGCGAGCAGGUGCGAAAGCAGGUCAUAGUGAUCCGGUGGUUCUGAAUGGAAGGGCCAUCGCUCAACGGAUAAAAGGUACUCCGGGGAUAACAGGCUGAUACCGCCCAAGAGUUCAUAUCGACGGCGGUGUUUGGCACCUCGAUGUCGGCUCAUCACAUCCUGGGGCUGAAGUAGGUCCCAAGGGUAUGGCUGUUCGCCAUUUAAAGUGGUACGCGAGCUGGGUUUAGAACGUCGUGAGACAGUUCGGUCCCUAUCUGCCGUGGGCGCUGGAGAACUGAGGGGGGCUGCUCCUAGUACGAGAGGACCGGAGUGGACGCAUCACUGGUGUUCGG
rnacentral:rRNA from 1 species